GCCGCGGUAAGUACGGAGGGGGUUAGCGUUGUUCGGAAUUACUGGGCGUAAAGCGUACGUAGGCGGGUUGUUAAGUUAGAGGUGAAAUCCCGGGGCUCAACCCGGAACUGCCUUGUAAACUCCUGGUCUUGAGUUCGAGAGAGGUGAGUGGAAUUCCGAGUGUAGAGGUGAAAUUCGUAGAUAUUCGGAGGAACACCAGUGGCGAAGGCGGCUUACUGGCUCGAUACUGACGCUGAGGUGCGAAAGUGUGGGGAGCAAACAGGAUUAGAUACCCUGGUAGUCCACACCGUAAACGAUGAAUGCCAGUCGUCGGGUAGUAUACUAUUCGGUGACACACCUAACGGAUUAAGCAUUCCGCCUGGGGAGUACGGUCGCAAGAUUAAAACUCAAAGGAAUUGACGGGGGCCCGCACAAGCGGUGGAGUAUGUGGUUUAAUUCGAAGCAACGCGCAGAACCUUACCAACCCUUGACAUCCUCGGACCGCCAGAGAGAUCUGGUUUUCUCGCAAGAGACCGAGUGACAGGUGCUGCAUGGCU
rnacentral:rRNA from 1 species